CAGCUAGCGGAAUGGUGCAUGUCAUAUCUCUGUGUGAACUACAACAGCACCUGCAAGCUUUCGCCGCGAAGUUUGAAGAGUCUGCAUCCGGACAAUCAGGAUUAUUUGCGAGAGCACCGAUAGCCACCGGUGUGAAUUCUGAAGGACUACGACUACUACCAACGAUGUAUGAACGAGCUCAACAAUGGGAAGAAAGACUGCACGGCAGACGACAAGGGUUGUCUCUGCUUUUCCGGAGGGAAAUCAAAACAAUCGGCCGCGGCAGCCAAAUCGACCAUGCAGAAGGCAAUUACCUAGUUAGCUCGGAGCACCAAUCGGACAUGGUUAGCACCAGUCUGUUCGAGUCAAAUGCCAACUUGGUGAACCAGUUUGAUCCGGAACACGACGGUGCGGAUCUCUGACAUUUGGCCUACGGAUCGUGGAAGUCGCUUCGUUUCAUUGUGAUUCUGCCAGUGCUGAUUUGUUUCAUCUGCACCAUCCUGAGCAUUCUGAUCAUUUUCCAGAUCUACAACUAAUAUUUGCUGCAAGGCGAAUCCGCUAUCAAAUUGGUUUUAUUUGCCACGGCUUCUAAACCUGGUAGAGUGCCGGCAGGUGAUUUAGGAUGUCACGGAACGAAACCAGUGGGAAAGUUGAACACUGCUUGAGGUCAUUGGAUGCUCACCAGCUAGCGGAAUUGUGCAUGUCGUAUCUCUGUGUGAACUACAACAGCACCUGCAAGCUUUCGCCGCGAAGUUUGAAGAGUCUGCAUCCGGACAAUCAGGAUUAUUUGCGAGAGCACCGAUAGCCACCGGUGUGAAUUCUGAAGGACUACGACUACUACCAACGAUGUAUGAACGAGCUCAACAAUGGGAAGAAAGACUAGGCAGACGACAAGGGUUGUCUCUGCUUUUCCGGAGGGAAAUCAAAACAAUCGGCCGCGGCAGCCAAAUCGACCAUGCAGACGGCAAUUACCUAGUUAGCUCGGAGCACCAAUCGGACAUGGUUAGCACCAGUCUGUUCGAGUCAAAUGCCAACUCGGUGAACCAGUUCGAUCCGGAACACGACGGUGCGGAUCUCUGACAUUUGGCCUACGGAUCGUGGAAGUCGCUUCGUUUCAUUGUGAUUCUGCCAGUUUCAUCUGCACCAUCCUGAGCAUUCUGAUCAUUUUCCAGAUCUACAACUAAUAUUUGCUGCAAGGCAAAUCCGCUAUCAAAUUGGUUUUAUUUGCAACGGCUUCUAAACCUGGUAGAGUGCCGGCAGGUGAUUGAGGAUCUCACGAGGAUGUCACGGAACGAAUCCAGUGGGGAAGUUGAACACUGCUUGAGGUCAUUGGAUGCUCACCAGCUAGCGGAAUUGUGCAUGUCGUAUCUCUGUGUGAACUACAACAGCACCUGCAAGCUUUCGCCGCGAAGUUUGAAGAGUCUGCAUCCGGACAAUCAGGAUUAUUUGCGAGAGCACCGAUAGCCACCGGUGUGAAUUCUGAAGGACUACGACUACUACCAACGAUGUAUGAACGAGCUCAACAAUGGGAAGAAAAACUAGGCAGACGACAAGGGUUGUCUCUGCUUUUCCGGAGGGAAAUCAAAACAAUCGGCCGCGGCAGCCAA